rnacentral:rRNA from 1 species
GGGACUCCGAGUGCGAGGGCAUAUAGUCCUCGCUUUUGAGAACCGUAAGGCGGUUCUCGAAUAAGAGCUGGGCAAGACCGGUGCCAGCCGCCGCGGUAAUACCGGCAGCUCAAGUGAUGGCCAAUCUUAUUGGGCCUAAAGCGUCCGUAGCUGGCCGUGAAAGUUCGUCGGGAAAUCCAUCCGCUCAACGGAUGGGCGUCCGGCGAAAACUUCACGGCUUGGGACCGGAAGGCUCGAGGGGUACGUCCGGGGUAGGAGUGAAAUCCCGUAAUCCUGGACGGACCGCCGAUGGCGAAAGCACCUCGAGAAGACGGAUCCGACAGUGAGGGACGAAAGCUAGGGUCUCGAACCGGAUUAGAUACCCGGGUAGUCCUAGCCGUAAACAAUGUUCACUAGGUGUGGCACAGGCUACGAGCCUGUGCUGUGCCGUAGGGAAGCCGAGAAGUGAACCGCCUGGGAAGUACGUCCGCAAGGAUGAAACUUAAAGGAAUUGGCGGGGGAGCACUACAACCGGAGGAGCCUGCGGUUUAAUUGGACUCAACGCCGGACAUCUCACCAGCUCCGACUACAGUAAUGACGGUCAGGUUGAUGACCUCGCCACGAGCUGUAGAGAG